rnacentral:rRNA from 1 species
AUGGUGAACAUCGUCGGCUACAGGUAUAACCCCUUCGUAAGAGUCGUCACCAUUUGUCCCCACCAUUGGGCCUGCAACAUCUCCUGUGAUGGUGAACAUAUACCUGGAGGUAUCGGCGAUGGUGUCGUCUGUUCUGUUGGCUUGCUGUGUGGAGUCCCCAUAGGUCCAUAUAAUUAUGAUGUCUUGGAGGGUAUGACGUUCGACAAUAUUUAUGAAUCCUUCAAUGCUGACUUUGAGGAUGGUACAAUCGGGCAGGUAUGGAUCUUUGAGAGUAUCCUUCAUGGUGAAUAUGGAGAAGGAAUGAAUAUCAAACAUGUGUGUUCAUACCUGGGGUUGAAUCCGUACAGCGUUGCCGACGGGAACUCCUAUGUCGCUGUCGUGGUUCCGCGGCGGUGGCGCUGUCCAGUGGUUCUGUGGCGGCGGCGCUGUCGAGUGGUUCCGCCGCGGCGGCGCUGUGGAGUGCGCAGAUCGUACGACGGCUGCGCAGAUCGCAUGACGGCGGCGAUCCAGAUGGACUCAGGCGGCGAGAUCCGGCGGGGUAUGAGGUUCGACGGCAGGCCGAUCCUGAUCUGCGGCAGGACGCUGUUUUCUUUGUCUACGUGCGUGGGCGGGGUUCGCUCUUAA